GGGGCUGUAGCUCAGUGGUAGAGUGCAUGCCUCACAUGUGUGAGGCACUGGGUUCAAUCCUCAGCAUCA
rnacentral:tRNA from 1 species